rnacentral:lncRNA from 1 species
AUGCUUUCCCCAUUCCUUCAGGGUUGUUUUUUUUUUCUUUCUAUUUUUGACAUGUAUAUCAUACUGAGCAAAGUUCAACCUCAGCGAAUGGCAUCAGUGAAUUCUGAAAAGGCAAGAUUUCCCCCCAAAAUGGUUUCAUCUGGCACGAGCAUUUGGAGAAAUAAUUAUUACCAAGAAAGGAAAGAAGAGAAAUGGUUCUUCCAUCAUCACAGAUGCACCCACGCAAGUGAAUGUCUGUUAAAGAUAGGAGGAUACAAGAGAAGACUAUCGCUCAAGGUCGUGGUUUGGCUGAAACCAGUUUUACGCUGA